AGCAUAAUCAUUAGUUUAUUAAUUGUGAACUGGAAUGAAUGGUUGGACGAAAUAUUAACUGUCUCAUAUUUAUUAUUAGAAUUUAAGAUUUGAGUUAAAACGCUUAAAUUUUUUUAUAGGACGAGAAGACCCUAUAGAUCUUAAUUAUUUAAUUUAUAUUAUUUUUUGGUUGAUUAUAUUUAUUUAUAAAUUAGAUUUUUUGGUUGGGGUGACGUUAAGAUAUAUUAAACUCUUAUUUUUUUAAUUCAAUUAUUUUUGUAUAUUUGACCUUUUAUUAUUGUUAUAAGAUGAAGAUACCUUAGGGAUAACAGCGUAAUUCUUUUUGAGAGUUCUUAUCGACAAAGGAGAUUGCGACCUCG
rnacentral:rRNA from 1 species